UACGAGGGGGGCAAAUGUUGUUCGGAAUCACUGGGCGUAAAGGGAGCGUAGGCGGGCUUCUAAGUUGGAUGUUUAACCCCGGGGCCCAACCCCGGAUCGGCAUCCAAAACUGGAAGUCUUGAAUAGUGGAGAGGACGACGGAAUUGGGGGUGUAGCGGUGGAAUGCGUAGAGAUCCCCAAGAACACCAGUUGCGAAGGCGGUCGUCUGGACACAUAUUGACGCUGAGGCUCGAAAGCAUGGGGAGCAAACAGG
rnacentral:rRNA from 1 species